rnacentral:rRNA from 1 species
CGGACGGGUGAGUAACGCGUGAGAAUCUGCCCAUCAGUGGGGGAUAACCCGGGGAAACUCGGGCUAAUACCGCAUACGUCCUACGGGACAAAGCAGGGGACCUUUUGGCCUUGCGCUGAUGGAUGAGCUCGCGUCGGAUUAGCUUGUUGGUGAGGUAAAGGCUCACCAAGGCGACGAUCCGUAGCUGGUCUGAGAGGAUGAUCAGCCACACCGGGACUGAGACACGGCCCGGACUCCUACGGGAGGCAGCAGUGGGGAAUCUUGGACAAUGGGGGCAACCCUGAUCCAGCCAUGCCGCGUGUGUGAAGAAGGCCUUCGGGUUGUAAAGCACUUUCAGUAGGGAGGAAGGCUUCGGGUUAAUACCCUGGAGUACUUGACGUUACCUACAGAAGAAGCACCGGCUAAUUUCGUGCCAGCAGCCGCGGUAAUACGAAAGGUGCAAGCGUUAAUCGGAAUUACUGGGCGUAAAGCGCGCGUAGGCGGUGUGUUAAGUCGGAUGUGAAAGCCCAGGGCUCAACCUUGGAAUUGCAUCCGAUACUGGCACGCUAGAGUGCAGUAGAGGGAGGUGGAAUUUCCGGUGUAGCGGUGAAAUGCGUAGAGAUCGGAAGGAACACCAGUGGCGAAGGCGGCCUCCUGGACUGACACUGACGCUGAGGUGCGAAAGCGUGGGGAGCAAACAGGAUUAGAUACCCUGGUAGUCCACGCCGUAAACGAUGUCUACUAGCCGUCGGGAUCCUUAGUGAUCUUGGUGGCGCAGCUAACGCGAUAAGUAGACCGCCUGGGGAGUACGGCCGCAAGGUUAAAACUCAAAUGAAUUGACGGGGGCCCGCACAAGCGGUGGAGCAUGUGGUUUAAUUCGAUGCCACCGCGAAAGAACCUUACCAGGUCUUGACAUCCCUCGAAAUUUGGCCAAAAAUGCCUUUAGUGCCUUCCGGAAGCCCAAGUGAACAGGUGCUUGCAUGGGCCGUCCUCCAGCUCCGUGUCCUGGAGAUGUUUGGGUUUAAGUCCCCGUAACCGAGCGGCAACCCCUUGUUCCUUUAGUUGGCCAAGCCACGUAAUGGGUGGGGAAACUCCUAUGGGAAAACUGGCCGGUUGAACAAACCCGGGAGGAAAGGUGGGGGAACAAACGUCCGGGUUCAACCAUGGGCCCCUUAACGAACCUGGG